UACGAAGGGGGCUAGCGUUGCUCGGAAUUACUGGGCGUAAAGCGCACGUAGGCGGCUUCUUAAGUCGGUGGUGAGAUCCUGGAGCUCAACUCCAGAACUGCCUUCGAUACUGGGAAGCUCGAGUCCGGGAGAGGUGAGUGGAACUGCGAGUGUAGAGGUGAAAUUCGUAGAUAUUCGCAAGAACACCAGUGGCGAAGGCGGCUCACUGGCCCGGUACUGACGCUGAGGUGCGAAGGCGUGGGGAGCAAACAGG
rnacentral:rRNA from 1 species